GAGGAUUUGCUUAAAGGAGGAAGAACAUGUAAAUGGUCUAAAGAUUUUUAUUUAGGUUGCACAUAUCUAGUUCGAGUUAAUUGUUAGCUAGUUUUGUAAAUGAAUAAUGACCGGAAGAUAUGUUUGAAAAAAUAAUUAUGUAGGUAGGACGAUCAUUAUAGAUGUAAUUGUGAUUUAUAACCUUUUUAUUAAUAAUAUUUAAUUUUCUAGUUCUCCAGCCUUGAUGGCAAUGCCGAAGGGGACGGUGAACUAGAUUUUAUCUCAUCUAUUUUUUGUUCUCUUGCUUGAGUAGUGUUCAAGCCAUUCUUUCUCUUUUGAUUUCCCAUUAAUCUUUUUUAUGUCAUUGUUCAACUCCUUGCUUCACCUCUUUGUUUCAUUAUAGAACCUUUAUGAUCUUGAGUGUCUUUGACUUGAUGCUUUAGUUUAAUUUAGUGCAUUAUUCUUGUUAUGAUUCCAAUAAGCUAAUUUAGCUGCGAGAGUUUAAUUUAAUUUGCACUUGAAGCUAUUUUGUUGCUGCGUUACAUCAUGGUUAGGUAAAGGUAUUUUGAAGCUAUUUUUUUUCUGACGAUAUAAAUGUAAAAUUGUCAUGCUGAUUUCAGUAAUAGAGAAUAUUUGUUGACAUGGCUUAGUUAUUAUCCUCUGUUGUCUUUUUAGUUGUACUCUAUUCUAUGUUAAUGGAAAAAUAUUUUAAGAAAAAUAAAAUUCAUAUUAUUUCUCACUAAUCAGACUCAAACAUUAAAGUCAUGGUGCUCCAAGUUAUAAAAACUUUGGAUGUUGUCUUUUAAAUUUUAAAGUGGACAGUAGUUGCACAUAAGUUAAUUAUAUGGGGUAUGACUAAAGAAACUUCAAAUUCAUAUUAUUUAUUUAUUUGAAUAUUGAUGUUUGCCUACAAAAAAUGUAGGCAUUUUAUUAUAAUGAAUUAUUAUUUUGUUGAUUGCUAAACUCAUAUACAAUAAUAUUGAUCACUAUGUUUGAAUGCCUUCUCACAAUAAGGCCCAGAAGCUUUAAUUGUAGAGAAAAGCACAAGUGAAUAAUGUGAUGCUGACAACAGAACACACCAUGAAUCCAUAACAUUAUAAAGAAUUACCUAGUCCAAUGUUAGACAUCUUGCAAGAACAUAGUACAUAUUGGUUUGGGAACCAGAUUAAUGUCUGUUACAAUCUUGUUUGAAACUUAAAUAUCAAUUACAAUGUACUUUAAGGUUGAUACCAGUUUGUUUAUCAAGAAAAAGGACAUUCAUAACCAAAUUUAUUUCUUUGCUUGCUGAUGCUAAUAAUAUCAGGUAUUCGUUUCGCGUCCAAGUGGUGAAAAACAUUUAUAGAUUGCCUUGUAAAUUACCAGUUACUAAUUUAUGAAGAACCUGACCCAGCAAGCACUGAGAAUAGUUUGUCCUCAGAUCUCACCUAUUAUACCCCAUAAUUACAAGGAGAGUAGCUUUCCUGCACCAGUUUUUACUUUUGUGUUAAAUAAUUUUGGAAAAACAACAGCAGAUGUCACCUUGCUUUUCACAUGGACUGUAAGUGAAACUUUUUUAAUGUUUUAUCCUAUUCUUGGCCCUUGGAGUGCUUAAUGCAAACAAUUGAUGUAUGCAUUCAGAUCUGUGUUGGAUGACACAACUUAUUUUUUAUUUUUUCUUUUAUUAUUCUUGUUAAUUUUUCAUAAUUAUAUUUUUUAUUACAAUAUUUUUCAUCUCAAAUUUUUUGAAUGAAAAAAAAUGUGAAUAAAUUAGAUUUUCUGAAUUUAUUUUAGUUUAUUACCAAAUAGAAUACAAGAACACAAAAUUGUGUGUCUCUGUCCUUUAUGUCUUGUUCUCAGUGUCUUGUUCUUAGAAACAAACGCAGCCUUGAUGUAUGCAUUCAGAUUUCUGUUGGAGGACUUUCUGAGUUUACUGGCGAUCAUUCUAAUUCAAAGAUGUAAGAAAAUUGUAACUUGUUCACCUUCUUUGUGAAAAUCUCCCAUUUGAUUGCUUUUUAUUCUAACAUUAAAGACACAUAUUUUGUCAUGCUAGGGUGAAUGACAAAGUUAUAAUUUUUCACAAUAUUUCAUUUAAACUUGAAAAAUAUUUAUUCAUUGUUUUGUUAUAUCAAGUUAUUGGUUCCAUCAUGUUUUCUUCUCCUGGAUAAAGCUAAUUAUUUUGUUCUAGCUUCUAAGCAUUAUAUAAGACAAGCACUUGGAUUUUCUUUUAUUUGGGUAUCAUAAAUAAUUUCUUGUCAAUUAUGACAAUUACAAUGUUGAAGACUUCAAGUCCUGUCAAGCAUCACUGUUUCAUAAUAUUGGAAGCCUAAACAAUUACUCCUUUUGAACUCUUAAAAAUGAUGUAUCUUGUAAUAUCUUAGGGCAAUCUUUUAGGAUUGGUUUUUAUAUUUUCUUACAUUACGCCAUUUUUCAUCUUUAUUUUAGUAUGUUUGGGAUUCUAAUAUUUUUCAAAAAUAGGGGUUGUUACUUUGUAAUUUAUCUCAUGGUACAUCUCAUCAUAUCAGAAUGGCUGAGUUGAUUGAAUGAAGAUAUCAUGAUGCAGAUUGUAAUGCUGUUUUUUCAGCUUUUGUUGCUUUUUUGUUCUUCUUAUCCCCACCCCAUCCCCCUUUUUUUGUUGAUGUUUAGCAUGUGUUUACAUUGCACUUAUGAAAUUCAAUCAUUUGUAUUUUGGUUCAUGUGGUGCUAAUCUUAAUCUGUGAUUUUCUUUGAAAGCUCUUCAAAAGAUGUCUAUU